rnacentral:tRNA from 1 species
GAAAUAUUGUGUAAGGUAAAAGCUGCUAACUUAACUACCUUAAUGGUUAAACUCCAUUUAUAUUUCU